rnacentral:rRNA from 1 species
GACGAACGCUGGCGGCGUGCUUAACACAUGCAAGUCGAACGGUAAGGCCCUUCGGGGUACACGAGUGGCGAACGGGUGAGUAACACGUGGGUGAUCUGCCCUGCACUUCGGGAUAAGCCUGGGAAACUGGGUCUAAUACCGGAUAGGACUCCGGACUGCAUGGUCUGGGGUGGAAAGCUUUUGCGGUGUGGGAUGGGCCCGCGGCCUAUCAGCUUGUUGGUGGGGUGAUGGCCUACCAAGGCGACGACGGGUAGCCGGCCUGAGAGGGUGACCGGCCACGCUGGGACUGGGAUACGGCCCAGACUCCUACGGGAGGCAGCAGUGGGGAAUAUUGCACAAUGGGCGCAAGCCUGAUGCAGCGACGCCGCGUGAGGGAUGACGGCCUUCGGGUUGUAAACCUCUUUCAGCACCGACGAAGCGCAAGUGACGGUAGGUGCAGAAGAAGGACCGGCCAACUACGUGCCAGCCGCCGCCGUAA